CCAGCAGCUGCGGUAAUUCCGGCUCCAAUAGCAUAUAUUAAAGUUGUUGCAGUUAAAGAGCUCGUAGUUGGAUUUCAAGAUACGCAUCUGGGCAACCAGUAUGCUUUCUACCAGUCUUUGACUGUUACUGUGAGAAAAUCAGAGUGUUUCAAGCAGGCAAUUGCAGGAAUAUAUUAGCAUGGAAUAACGAAUGUGUUUACAAUUUGGUUGAUUGUAAGCUACGGUUAUUAGGGACAGUUGGGGGCAUUAGUAUUUAAUUGUCAGAGGUGAAAUUCUUGGAUUAGUUAAAGACUAACGUAUGCGAAAGCAUUUGCCAAGGAUGUUUUCAUUAAUCAAG
rnacentral:rRNA from 1 species